rnacentral:rRNA from 2 species
UUGGAGAAGUUUGAUCCUGGCUCAGGAUGAACGCCGGCGGUGUGCCUAAUACAUGCAAGUCGAACGCGUUGGCCCAAUUGAUUGAUGGUGCUUGCACCUGAUUGAUUUUGGUCGCCAACGAGUGGCGGACGGGUGAGUAACACGUAGGUAACCUGCCCAGAAGCGGGGGACAACAUUUGGAAACAGAUGCUAAUACCGCAUAACAACGUUGUUCGCAUGAACAACGCUUAAAAGAUGGCUUCUCGCUAUCACUUCUGGAUGGACCUGCGGUGCAUUAGCUUGUUGGUGGGGUAACGGCCUACCAAGGCGAUGAUGCAUAGCCGAGUUGAGAGACUGAUCGGCCACAAUGGGACUGAGACACGGCCCAUACUCCUACGGGAGGCAGCAGUAGGGAAUCUUCCACAAUGGGCGCAAGCCUGAUGGAGCAACACCGCGUGAGUGAAGAAGGGUUUCGGCUCGUAAAGCUCUGUUGUUAAAGAAGAACACGUAUGAGAAGUAACUGUUACAUAACGUUGACGGGUAUUUAACCAAAAA